rnacentral:lncRNA from 1 species
GAGAUGUUAAAGUAUGAGCUUUAAACUGAAUUCCAGAAGAUCAACCGUCAUGUCAGUCUGUGGUAAUGUUGAUAUACGACAUGUCAGCUAUAAAGGAUACAAGCCUGUAUGACAAACUUUGGUCGUCAGCCAAAGCUUUAAGUGAAGCACGUAAAUGUCACGUGAUUCCACUUACUCUGAACGGCAUGAAAGAAUGUCGUUUUGGGGCUUGCUGUUUGUAAGGGUUUCAACACGUGUCCUGGAAGCUGUUAAAAUCAGUUAUUGCAGGCGGGAGAAUUCUGGGUUUGUAAGCUAACAAACCCAGAUUACAGCUGGUUGACAGGGGGUCUUUGUAACGGGCUCUAAGCUAGUAUAAAUAGUCUAAGGGACUGGGAAAUCAGAGAGGGUGUUGUUUGUAACUUCGUCUCUAAACUUGUAACUUGUUCUUGGUUAUUGAAUAAAAGCUGUUGCUCUGUUCUUCAGUGGAUGUAGGCUGCCUCCAGCCGAACCACUUAUAUUUGUUGUUCUUUGCAUAUUGUUUCUGGGUGAUUUAGAUGUGUGAAAUUGGUUUAACCUUUCUUGAAACAUUGAUUAGAGAGUUCAGCUAGAUCCUGGAGAUUCUUGAUUGGAUAAUAAUUCUGGUCUAGGUUCAACAAAUUGGUAUCAGAGCCUUAUCUCUGAUCUUUGAUCCAAGAAAUGGGAACCUCUAAAUUUGAGGUAGAAAAAUUCACUGGAGAAAACGACUUCCAUCUAUGGCGGCUCAAGAUGAGAGCUCUGUUGGUUCAUCAGGGGCUGGAGGAGACUUUGGGUGAUCCAAGAUCUGAAAAGAAACCCAGCAAGCUUUCUGAUGAUGAAAUGCGAGAUGCUUUGGAUAAAGCUCAUAGCACACUAAUCUUGAGUCUGGGAGAUGGAGUUCUCAGGGAAGUGGGAGAUCAAACAACUGCUGCAGGCCUCUGGAUAAAACUUGAAGACCUAUAUACCAAGAAGUCUCUAACCAAAAGACUUUGUACCAAAAAUAGGCUGUAUACUUUGCAAAUGGAGGAAGGAAGCUCUCUGGCAACUCACAUUGAUAGCUUUAACAGGAUCAUCCUGGAUCUUGAAGAUAUCAAUGUGAGUCUUGAGGAUGAAGACAAGGCAAUAAUCUUGUUAGCAUCUCUCCCACCAUCCUAUGAACACUUUGUAGAUACACUGCUCUAUGGAAGGCAGUCAAUAUCAAUGGCUGAUGUAAAGGACUCUCUUAGUUCUAAAGAAGUCACAAAGAAGACAGAAACAAGAGCUGGGGAAGGUCUGAUGGCAAGAGGAAGACCUGAGAAGAAAGAAUACAACAAAGGGAAGAAAAGGGACAAGUCAAAGUCCAAGAAUAAAAACCUGAAAUGCUUUCAUUGCCAUAAAGAAGGGCAUUUCAAAAGGGACUGUCCAGAUAGAAAGAACAAGGAUAAAGAAGGGCAUGGAAAGAAUGGUGAUGCUGCUGUUGCAUCCGAGGAUGAGGGCUAUGACUCAGCUGGUGUCCUUUUGGCCUCUGAAACUCAGACAAACAGUAAGUGGAUUCUUGACUCUGGAUGUUCAUAUCACAUGUGCCCUGAUCAAAAUCUUUUUACUACUUAUAAUGCUUUUAAUGGAGGUGAGGUUCUGAUGGGGAAUAACACAAUGUGUAAGGUUGUUGGGUUAGGAACCAUUAGAUUUAAGAUGUUUGAUGGGAUGAUUAGGGAGCUAAGAGAUGUAAGGCAUAUUCCUGAUCUAAAGAGGAAUUUAAUAUCUCUAGGCACUCUAGAUCAAGUUGGAUGCUCCAUUAAAGUUGAAUAUGGGGUAAUGAAGGUUGUUAGAGGGUCUAUAGUGGUUAUGAAAGGGAAUAAGCAAAAUGGCUUAUAUGUGCUUCAAGGCACAGCUGUAACUGGGGAUGUUAGUAUCUCAGCAAGUCUGGGUUUGGAUAAAACUCUCAUAUGGCAUCUAAGGUUAGGACAUAUGAGUGAGAAGGGGCUAAAAAUUUUAGAAAAACAGGGAGUCUUAGGGGAUGAUAAGUUGGGAUCUCUGGAGUUCUGUGAGGUAUGUGUCCUAGGCAAGUCCUCAAGAACUAGUUUCAAAACUGCAGUGCAUAACACAAAAGGGACCUUAGAUUACAUCCAUUCAUAUCUGUGGGGGCCAUCACAGACUGUCUCUUUAGGUGGAGCAAAAUACUUUCUCUCUUUUAUAGAUGAUUACUCGAGAAUGGUAUGGGUUUAUGUCUUGAAAGGCAAGGAUGAAGUCUUCGAGAGGUUUAAACAAUGGAAAGCAUUGGUAGAAACUCAGAGUGGUAGGAGGAUUAAGAGACUGAGGACUGAUAAUGGGCUUGAAUUCUGCAACAAACAGUUUGAUGAUUUCUGCAAACUCAAUGGCAUAGCAAGACACAAAACAGUGAGUUACACUCCACAGCAGAAUGGGCUAGCAGAAAGAAUGAAUAGGACUUUGAUGGAUAAAGUCAGAUGUUUACUGAUCCACUCAAAGCUUCCUCAAACACUGUGGGCUGAAACCUUGAUGACAGCAUGUUAUCUAGUGAAUAGAAGCCCAUCCAGUGCCUUAAACUUCAAGACACCAGUAGAGAUGUGGUCAGGAAGGGCAGCAAAUUAUUCAAAUCUAAAGAUCUUUGGUUGUCCAGCAUAUGCACAUGUCAAGCAAGGGAAGCUGGAGCCAAGAGCACUGAAAUGUGUAUUCCUGGGUUAUCCUGAAGGUGUCAAAGGUUAUAAACUAUGGUGCACUGAAAUGAGGCCACCAAAGUGCAUAGUCAGCCGAGAUGUAGUCUUCAAUGAGUCAGAGAUGUUAAUGAAAGGACAUCAAAAGGAUCCUGCUAAACUAGAAGGAGGACUUGACUCACAGGGACAACAUUUGAAGGUGGAGUUUAAAGGUAAAUCAGCUCUGGACUACCAUGAUGAAGCUGAAGACAUGGAGAGAGAAGAUGCUGAAGAUAUCAGUGAAGCUUCUGGAACUCAUACAGAUAUUCAAGACUAUCAGCUGGCAAGAGACAGACAAAUGAGAGUUAUUAAAACACCUAAGAGGUUUGCAUAUGCAGAUUUGAUUGCAUAUGCUCUAACAGCAGCCCAUGAAUUAGACAAUGAUGAGCCCAAAACCUACAGAGAAGCUGUUUCAGGAAAGGAUGCAGAUAAGUGGAUAAAAGCUAUGAAGGAUGAAAUGGAGUCAUUACACAAAAAUAACACCUGGAAGCUUGUAAAAGGGCCAGAAAAUAAAAAGGCAGUAGGCUGUAAAUGGGUUUACAAGAUCAAGCAGGGUAUACCAGGGGUUGAAUCCAUGAGAUAUAAAGCUAGGCUGGUUGCCAAAGGCUACACACAGAGGGAGGGGAUUGAUUUUACAGAAGUCUAAUCACCUGUAGUUAGGCAUACCUCAAUAAGACUGAUCCUAGCUCUGGUUGCAGUUCAUAACAUGCAUCUUGAACAGAUGGAUGUUAAGACUGCAUUUUUACAUGGUGAGCUUGAAGAACAAAUAGUAAUGUCUCAACCUGAAGGCUUUGAAGACCAGUCAAAUGGUGAUUGGGUAUGCCUUCUGAAGAAAUCACUUUAUGGCCUCAAGCAGUCUCCAAGACAGUGGUAUCUCAGGUUUGACAGCUUUAUGAUAAAACUUUGUUUUCAGAGGUGUAAUCUAGACUGCUGUGUUUACUACAAAGAGAUAUCAGGGGACAUGGUUUAUCUGAUUCUGUAUGUGGAUGACAUGCUUAUUGCCAGCAAAAGCAUAGGACACAUAAAUUUUCUGAAACAACAACUCAAAGGUGAAUUUGAGAUGAAGGAUCUGGGACCAGCUAAGAAGAUACUUGGAAUGCAGCUAAUUAGAGAUUGGAAAUCUGGCACCUUGUUUCUUACACAGGAAGAUUACAUCAGGAGAGUACUUGAUAAGUUUGACAUGACUACUGCCAAACCAGUGCAAACACCAUUACCAGCCCAUUUCAGAUUAUCAGAACAACAGUGCCCAAUAACUGAUGCUGACAAGUCUGAAAUGAUAAAAAUACCUUAUGCAAGUGCUGUAGGCUGCUUAAUGUAUGCUAUGGUACUCACCAGACCUGAUAUAGCACAUGCAGUCAGUGUGGUCAGCAGGUAUAUGUCUAAUCCUGGAAAAGAACAUUGGAAGGCUGUAAGGUGGAUACUCAGGUAUCUAAGGGGAACUUCUGGGCAUGGUCUGAUAUAUAGGGGACAGAGAAGAGAUGGCAGUUUAAUUGUGGGAUAUGUGGAUGCUGAUUAUGCAGGGGACUUGGAUAGAAGAAGGUCUUUAACUUGCUAUCUGUUCACAUUCAACAAUUGCACAAUAAACUGGAAAUCACAGCUACAGAGUGUAGUGGCUUUGUCCACAACUGAAGCAGAGUACACAACUGCUGCUGAAGCCAUAAAAGAGGCAAUAUGGCUGAAGGGUAUGUUGAAGGAGCUUGGAGUCAAUCAGAGGUCUGUGGUGAUACAUUGUGAUAGCCAAAGUGCUAUAUGCCUAAGCAAGAAUCAAACACACCAUGAAAGAACCAAACACAUUGACAUUAAGGUGCACUUCAUCAGGCUGGAAGUCUCAAAAGCAACUGUAAUGCUUCAGAAAAUCCAUACAGAUGACAAUGUUGCAGAUAUGUUGACUAAAGCUGUUCCAGGAGCUAAAUUCAAAUUCUGUUUGGAUUUGGCUGGCAUCUGUGAUAAUUGAAAUACAGAUGGUAGAAGAGAAGAGUAGCAGGUCAUGAGAGUUUCAAGCUCAAGGUGGAGAAUGUUAAAGUAUGAGCUUUAAGCUGAAUUCCAGAAGAUCAACCGUCAUGUCAGUCUGUGGUAAUGUUGAUAUACGAUAUGUCAGCUAUAAAGGAUACAAGCCUGUAUGACAAACUUUGGUCGUCAGCCAAAGCUUUAAGUGAAGCAUGUAAAUGUCACGUGAUUCCACUUACUCUGAACGGCAUGAAAGAAUGUCGUUUUGGGGCUUGCUGUUUGUAAGGGUUUCAACACGUGUCCUGGAAGCUGUUAAAAUCAGUUAUUGCAGGCGGGAGAAUUCUGGGUUUGUAAGCUAACAAACCCAGAUUACAGCUGGUUGACAGGGGGUCUUUGUAACGGGCUCUAAGCUAGUAUAAAUAGUCUAAGGGACUGGGAAAUCAGAGAGGGUGUUGCUUGUAACUUCGUCUCUAAACUUGUAACUUGUUCUUGGUUAUUGAAUAAAAGCUGUUGCUCUGUUCUUCAGUGGAUGUAGGCUGCCUCCAGCCGAACCACUUAUAUUUGUUGUUCUUUGCAUAUUGUUUCUGGGUGAUUUAGAUGUGUGAAAUUGGUUUAACCUUUCUUGAAACAUUGAUUAGAGAGUUCAGCUAGAUCCUGGAGAUUCUUGAUUGGAUAAUAAUUCUGGUCUAGGUUCAACAUGAGACUUGUUUGAAAGUGUUCUUGAGACAGAUACCAUUUUCAUGAAGGUUAUAUGUGUGUGUGUGUGUUAUUUGAAAUUAUCGUUAUAAGGAAAAAUUGAUUUAGGGUGAAUCACACUUUUCUCCCUAAUAUUUUGUAGAUUUACCUUAACCUGUUACUCACUUGAUAUUAGAAUUUUCCCAAAAACACUUAAAAGGAAUACCAAAAUAUUAUGAAAACUGUAAAAAAAAAAAAGGUUAAUUCACUGUAUACGUAUGUUUUGUUCUAUAACAUAAAUUGAUCAUAUAUAUUCAGAUUAAUAGAUCUAAUGAGAAUUAACAUGAAUAUUAAACUUUUGCAGUGGGUCCUUAAUGGUUUUGAUGAUGAGCAGUCCUUGAAAUUGUUGAAAAAUUGUUACAAAGCUCUUCCGGAUGGUGGGAAAUUGCUUAAUGUUAAUGCAGCAUUUCCAGAAGUGCCUGAGAAUAGCGCGACUUCAAGGGAGAUCUCCCUCUUGGAUACAAUUUGUUUAAUCCAAGUUCCUCAUGGAAGAGAGCGGACCAAACAAGAAUACAGUGAAUUAGCAAUCAAAGCUGGAUUUAAAGGCGUCAACUACGAAUAUUGUGCAUGCAAUUUAUAUGUUAUGGAAUUCCUCAAAUAAUAAAUUGCUUUAUUUGUAUUAGGAAAGGUCUUCUCAACUCUGUUUGGGGAGUCACCAAUUUCUGGUUUGUGUUACUUAAUUUUUCUUCUCGUUUGGCCUUAGCGCUUCUCUUAUGUACUCUUUUUCAUUCUAUGAACAUUUGUUUCUUUAAAGGAGAUUGACUGCUUUAACAUAGCUCUUAUGCACUCUUCUCCAUUUUAAUUUUUAUCGAGGAAAAAAAUAGUGUAUUCAUCUUACUUUGUUAUUUUUUUUCUUUUCCUGGUUAUUUCAAAGUUAUG